rnacentral:misc_RNA from 1 species
UUUCCGUAGGUGAACCUGCGGAAGGAUCAUUAACGAGUAACUGAACAGGUUGUAGCUGGUCUCUCGGGGCAUGUGCACACCUGGCUCAUCCACUCUUCAACCACUGUGCACUUAUUGUAGGUCAGCAGAAGGGCGAGUCUAACAGCUCGCUCGGAAGCCUUCCUAUGUUUUAUUACAAACGCCUCAGUUUAAGAAUGUAAACCUGCGUAUAACGCAACUAUAUACAACUUUCAGCAACGGAUCUCUUGGCUCUCGCAUCGUGAAGAACGCAGC